UUACUGCAUAUGGCUAAAUGUCAGGAGCCAGCUUAGCCUUAUACAAGCGCCAUCUUAAGUUUACAUACGUCUUCUUCCUCCUCCUUGCACAAAGAAAGCGCGCGCAAAGCCUGUAACACCCCUCCCACUCCCUCUUCUCAUAUCACAUCACCACCCUUCCUCCUAUCAGCAGCUGCCACAAGUGUUAUUCCUACCCUCCCCCGUUACAGCGCAUAUAAGCAGCCAUCCAGCAAUAAAAUUUUGAGGCUUGAUCAGAAUUUUGUCUUGCCUCCAUUCUGUGUGUCUCCUGUCUCUUUUCCCUCACCAGCAGCAGGUAGUCCUCCUCGCGCCCCUGCGUUGUAUGCCCCGCUGGUCGGGACAUAAACUGGCGCCCAACGUGGGGCACGAGGCACGGAACGGCGCUGUUGGCACCUACUCGGAAGACGCCCCGGCCGGGCACCCCCUGAGCCCCUGAGCUCGCUUCGAGCCCGUGGGCUAUCAACCCACGGGAUAAGACUCGACCCUGAUCGUCGCUGGAUUGGCCGCCCCAGCGAACAUCGAAACGGCAAUGAAGCUCUGCCUCUUUAUCCUCCUCAUAUGCUCCUCCUGCACGUACGCCAGCUUCGGGCCCCCGAUAGAUCCGCAGGAAUUCCUGAUUAGGCUCUAUGGAAACCCCUGUGACUGCCGUGGAGGAGACGGGUAUGAGCACCGGGAUGAGUGCAAAACAAAGUAUUGCAAGAAAGGGAGGAGAUGUCAGGAGCCAGCUUAGCCUUAUACAAGCGCCAUCUUAAGUUUACAUACGUCUUCUUCCUCCUCCUUGCACAAAGAAAGCGUGCGCAAAGCCUGUAACACCCCUCCCACUCCCUCUCCUCAUAUCACAUCACCACCCUUCCUCCUAUCAGCAGCUGCCACAAGUGUUAUUCCUACCCUCCCCCGUUACAGCGCAUAUAAGCAGCCAUCCAGCAAUAAAAUUUUGAGGCUUGAUCAGAA